GAGGGUAUAGCUCUGUGGUGGAGCACAUGCUUAGCAUGCACUGGGUCCUGGGAUCAAUCCCCAAUACCUCCA
rnacentral:tRNA from 1 species